rnacentral:tRNA from 1 species
GGAAGAGUGAGCAGAAUUUGGUAUUGUCCCUGUUUGCUAAACAGGUUUCGUCCCUCGGGAUGUGUGGGUUCGAGUCCCACCUCUUCCGCCA